rnacentral:rRNA from 1 species
CCUGCCCUUGACUUUGGGAAUACUUCAGGAAACUGGGGCUAAUACCGGAUAGGAGCUCCUGCUGCAUGGUGGGGGUUGGAAAGUUUCGGCGGUUGGGGAUGGACUCGCGGCUUAUCAGCUUGUUGGUGGGGUAGUGGCUUACCAAGGCUUUGACGGGUAGCCGGCCUGAGAGGGUGACCGGCCACAUUGGGACUGAGAUACGGCCCAGGACUCCUACGGGAGGCAGCAGUGGGGAAUAUUGCACAAUGGGCGGAAGCCUGAUGCAGCAACGCCGCGUGCGGGAUGACGGCCUUCGGGUUGUAAACCGCUUUCGCCUG